rnacentral:rRNA from 1 species
GAUGAACGCUAGCGGCAGGCUUAAUACAUGCAAGUCGAGGGGCAGCACGAAUAGCAAUAUUUGGUGGCGACCGGCGCACGGGUGCGUAACACGUAUACAAUCUACCUUCAACAGGGGGAUAGCCUUUCGAAAGAGAGAUUAAUACCCCGUAAUAAAUUGAGUGGCAUCACUUGAUUUUGAAAGUUCCGACGGUUGAAGAUGAGUAUGCGUCUGAUUAGCUAGUUGGUGAGGUAACGGCUCACCAAGGCGACGAUCAGUAGGGGAUCUGAGAGGACUAACCCCCACACUGGUACUGAGACACGGACCAGACUCCUACGGGAGGCAGCAGUAAGGAAUAUUGGUCAAUGGAGGCAACUCUGAACCAGCCAUGCCGCGUGCAGGAUGAAGGCCCUAUGGGUCGUAAACUGCUUUUAUACCAGAGAAAACCCUUCCACGUGUGGAAGGCUGAUAGUAUGGUAAGAAUAAGCAUCGGCUAACUUCGUG